AGCAGUAGCCGCGGUAAAACGUAGGUCCCGAGCGUUGUCCGGAUUUGUUGGGCGUAAAGCGAGCGCAGGCGGUUAGAUAAGUCUGAAGUUAAAGGCUGUGGCUUAACCAUAGUACGCUUUGGAAACUGUUUAACUUGAGUGCAAGAGGGGAGAGUGGAAUUCCAUGUGUAGCGGUGAAGUGCGUAGAUAUAUGGAGGAACACCGGUGGCGGGAGCGGCUCUCUGGCUUGUAACUGACGCUGAGGCUCGGAAGCGUGGGGAGCAAACAGGAUUAGAUACCCGCGUAGUCCCUGUCUCUUAUACA
rnacentral:rRNA from 1 species